UGUUCCCUGGGAUUGGCUUUGGGCCUUUCCUGCGCAGCUUAGGUGGAAGGCGAAGAAGGCCCCCUUCCGGGGGGGGGGGGGGUGAGCCAUCAGUGAGAUACCACUCUAGAAGAGCUCGGAUUCUAACCUUGUGUCAGACCCGCGGGCCAAGGGACAGUCUCAGGUAGACA
rnacentral:ncRNA from 1 species